AUGCCUUUGUCUAGACAGGGCAGUAAACGGAGCCCCAGGCCUGGGGCUGUGGAGGGGGUGAGGGACUGGCUGGGAGUGAGCCUGCCAGUGACUUUGGGGUGGGUGCGGGCGUGCGGGCCUCCAUCGUCACCCAGGUGUGCGCAGGCCCAGGUGUGGGGACUCCGACAGCACGGCAAUGACGACCAGUGCCAGGUGUGUGACAGAGGUGCAGGGGCCUGUGGAAGCGCGACGGGCCUUGGUGGACGGGCUUCUCGAGAUUCGAGGGGCGCCACAGGCAGCGCCCUGGCGCACAGGAGCAGAGUAGGGUGGCUGUGCCGGGGCAGAUGGUGGGGGACAACACCUCACCAAGGCAAUGCGGAGCCAUGGGGAGCAGGGCAGGCCGUGGCCACGCGCCCAGGAUGGUGGACAGGAGGGGAGACCGAGCCUGCCAGUGCAGGGAGGAGGGGCGUGGGGGCUGCCAGGCAGGCGCGGGGAGGCUCGGAGAGGCUUGUGGGACGGAUGCAUCGGGACCUGGGUGACUCUCGGUCCGGGAUCAGAAAGCCUGGGAGGGCCGGGGCCUCCUUGGGCACUCCGAGAGCGAAGGGGCAGGCCCGCCUCCCUGCCCAGCGCGGCGUCAGGGAGAGGGUACGCCCGGAACUCCGCGGAAACGGCCUGGGGCCAGCAGCGCGGGCGUGGGGUCCGGGCCGCCGGAGCCAGGAGGGACGGCGGCGCGGGCCCAGCAGUGACAAAACCCCCCGGGCUCCGGGAACGCGCGCGGCGGGCAGAAAACGCGUCCGUUCCGUUUCCUUCCUGGCGGCGGGAACGAGGCCCGGGUGCUCUGGCGCGGCAGCAGCGCCCCCUGGAGGCCUCGCUGCGGUUCGCGGCCGCCGGUUCGCGCAUGGGCGCAGGCGUAUGCGAUGCCUCGGGGCCCCGGCUCGGAGACCGCGCUGGGUGGGAAGCACGCGGGGCUGGGGGAUGUUGGCGGAGACCGCCCCAGCCCGCCCUCUGAUCUUGUCUCCUCCGGUCUCCCCAGGUUCCGAGCUCGCCAGGCCGCGUCGCGCCAUGCCCGCCGGCUGA
rnacentral:lncRNA from 1 species